CCUCUAGCCUGGCGGCUGGGGCUGCGCCUACACACGGCUUUGUUUACGGAGGGUCGCUUCCGGCCGCCUCCCGGCCGGGGUUGACUCUCUCUGAGCUGUAAUGACCCUAGAAACUCAAUAACCUCUCUGGGCCACUGGUACAGUUUGGAUGCUCUAAGAGCCGACCCGGGCCAGCACAGUCCUUCCUAGCAAUGCGCUCGCUGUGGGCUGUUAACUUUACGAGUUCCUCUUGAGCUGCGAGCUAAGACACCCCAAUCCUUUCUACGUCUGUGGAAUGAACAUGAAAUUGCCCAUUUCGACCCAUGAGAGUGGGGAAGAACACAAUGGAGGAACUGGAGAGAUGGCUCAGAGGUUAAGAGCACCGGUCAAUGGAUCCCAGAAGACUUGAGUUUGAUUCCUGGAACCUACAUGGCACAUGAUCGCUGUGACUCCAACUCCAAGGGAAUCUUACAUCCCCGGCGGGACCCUGUCUCAAUAACAGCAGUGAUGUCUUAG
rnacentral:lncRNA from 1 species